rnacentral:rRNA from 1 species
GUCUAUGGCCACACCACCCUGAACAUGCCCGUUCUCAGCUGAUCUCGGAAGCCAAGCAGGGUCGGCCUGGUUAGUACUUGGAAGGGACAAACAGGAAAGGGACAAAGGGGUUUAGUUC